rnacentral:rRNA from 1 species
UUAAGUAGACCGCCUGGGGAGUACGGUCGCAAGAUUAAAACUCAAAUGAAUUGACGGGGGCCCGCACAAGCGGUGGAGCAUGUGGUUUAAUUCGAUGCAACGCGAAGAACCUUACCUACUCUUGACAUCCAGAGAAUCUAGCGGAGACGCUGGAGUGCCUUCGGGAGCUCUGAGACAGGUGCUGCAUGGCUGUCGUCAGCUCGUGUUGUGAAAUGUUGGGUUAAGUCCCGCAACGAGCGCAACCCUUAUCCUUGUUUGCCAGCACGUAAUGGUGGGAACUCCAGGGAGACUGCCGGUGAUAAACCGGAGGAAGGUGGGGACGACGUCAAGUCAUCAUGGCCCUUACGAGUAGGGCUACACACGUGCUACAAUGG